GGAAGGCCUCAUGUACAGGACCUUGCAGGAAAGUACGAUGGUAGGGGAACUCGGGAGAGGCCUGUCUGCAGAGCACAUGGGCAUGGAAGGAGUGGGAGCCACCAUCCAAGUCAUCCCUGAAGCAGCUCAAGGCCUCUUGGACUUGGAUACAUAAUCAACUUGGGAACAUCUGCCAUCACACCAGCUAAGGAGAGAAGCUACCAGCUGAGGAGGAAUCUACCUGAUGUAUCUUGAUUUUGGCCUUCAGCAACCAGGGUAUGAUGAAUAAGUUUCUGUUAUUCAGUCACCCAGCCAGUGGUACUUUGUUCUGCCAACCACAGCAAAGGAACAUAGUAACCUUCAGGGGAUACCUGAUAGAAGGAUGAGAAACCAUAUGGAUUCUGGAAGCUCAUCACACUUGGGGUAACCCAAGCCUGCUAAAUAUCUAUGUUCUAUCAGCACCGGAUAUAUGAAGCAGGCAGCAAGCAAG
rnacentral:lncRNA from 1 species